GUUGUUUUCUGCACCACCAAAAUGUAGUUUAUAUUUAGUUUAGAGGGCCAGACCUAUGUGGAAACACGUCCGUCCAUCUUGAGUGCCAUGCCUCGCGGAGGCUAUUUUAAACACUGCUUUUUAAAAAAACCAUAUUACAUGGUCACCUAGACUGAAAAGAGACCUGUCUCCAUCACGUUUAGCCAUAGCAUGGGUUGCGAUCCAAAUGUAUUAGUGAUGAGAAAGCAGCCAUGGACUCUACCGUUUCCACCUUGUGGGUCUCAUUAGCAUUGGACCGGUUCUAUAUUUAUUUAUGAUAAACUUUAGAUACUGGAUGAAUCUGAUAAUACAUUGCAGAGUACCAGAUCUAAGGCAAGGGAAAGUAGUUAAUUAUUAUUUAAAAAAAAAUAAACAUCAUUCUUUACGUGUCAGAUGAUGUUUCUAUCAAAGAAACAAAUGGAUCCAUGAGCUUAAAUCAUGUCCUCCUCUUCCACCGUGAACUCUAAAUGACAUGCAUGACUUCCUAUAAUUCCUAGAAUGUGAGUACAUACCAGGAAUUAUGGAUUCUAUCACCAUCCCUUUUAGGGUGGGUGCUGCUGCAACCAAAUUUAAAAACUUUAUACAGUUUUCAGCUAUACAUGUUCUAAUACUUUUGCUAGCAUAAAUUAAAGAAUAGUUAUGUCAUAGUCACCAAAUCAUGAUAACUGCACUUCAAUAGUUGGUUAUUGUUUGCUUGUUUUUCUUAUUAACUCAUUGCAUUUGAUAGAAUAUUAGAAAUAAUUAAAUUUCCUUAAAGGACCACUAUAGUGCCAGGAAAACAUACUCAUUUUCCUGGCACUAUAGUGUCCUGAGGGUGCCCCCACCCUCAGGGUCCCCCUCCCGCCCGGCUCUGGAAAGAGGAAAAGGGGUAAAACUUACCUUUUUCCAGCGCCGCGCGGGGAGCUCUCCUCCUCCGAUCCUCCCCGUCUGCUGAAUGCGCAGGCGCGGCAAGAACUGCGCGCGCAUUCAGCCGGUCGCAUAGUAAAGCAUUAUCAAUGCUUUCCUAUGGACGCUUGCGUGCUCUCACUGUGAUUUUCACAGUGAGAAUCACGCAAGCGCCUCUAGCGCCUGUCAAUGAGACAGCCGCUAGAGGCUUUGGGGGAAGGCUUAACCCAAUUAUAAAC